UACGUAGGUGGCAAGCGUUGUCCGGAUUUACUGGGUGUAAAGGGCGUGCAGCCGGGCUGACAAGUCAGAUGUGAAAUCCCGCGGCUCAACCGCGGAACUGCAUUUGAAACUGUCAGUCUUGAGUACCGGAGAGGUCAUCGGAAUUCCUUGUGUAGCGGUGAAAUGCGUAGAUAUAAGGAAGAACACCAGUGGCGAAGGCGGAUGACUGGACGGCAACUGACGGUGAGGCGCGAAAGCGUGGGGGGCAAACAGG
rnacentral:rRNA from 1 species